rfam:Felis catus breed Abyssinian Contig168865.1, whole genome shotgun sequence. [26-MAY-2016]
GCCUGGGUGGCUCAGUCAGUUAAGUGUCUGACUUUGGCUCGGGUCAUGAUCUCACUGUCUGUGAGUUCGAGUCCCACAUCAGGCA